UACGAAGGGGGCUAGCGUUGUUCGGAAUUACUGGGCGUAAAGCGCGCGCAGGCGGCUAUCCAAGUCAGUGGUGAAAGCCCGGAGCUCAACUCCGGAAUUGCCAUUGAAACUGUUUAGCUUGAGUACGAGAGAGGUGAGUGGAAUUCCCAGUGUAGAGGUGAAAUUCGUAGAUAUUGGGAAGAACACCGGUGGCGAAGGCGGCUCACUGGCUCGUAACUGACGCUGAGGAACGAAAGCCAGGGGAGCGAAUGGG
rnacentral:rRNA from 1 species